AUAGAUACCCGGGUAGUCCAUGCCGUAAACGUUGGGCACUAGGUGUGGGGGACAUUCCACGUUUUCCGCGCCGUAGCUAACGCAUUAAGUGCCCCGCCUGGGGAGUACGGCCGCAAGGCUAAAACUCAAAGGAAUUGACGGGGGCCCGCACAAGCGGCGGAGCAUGCGGAUUAAUUCGAUGCAACGCGAAGAACCUUACCAAGGCUUGACAUGUGCCAGACCGCUCCAGAGAUGGGGUUUCCCUUCGGGGCUGGUUCACAGGUGGUGCAUGGUUGUCGUCAGCUCGUGUCGUGAGAUGUUGGGUUAAGUCCCGCAACGAGCGCAACCCUCGUUCCAUGUUGCCAGCACGUAGUGGUGGGGACUCAUGGGAGACUGCCGGGGUCAACUCGGAGGAAGGUGGGGAUGACGUCAAAGUCAUCAUGCCCCUUAUGUCUUGGGCUUCACGCAUGCUACAAUGGCCGGUACAAUGGGUUGCGAUACUGUGAGGUGGAGCUAAUCCCUAAAAGCCGGUCUCAGUUCGGAUUGGGGUCUGCAACUCGACCCC
rnacentral:rRNA from 1 species